CAGGGGGGCACCUCAUGGUUCCCAACUCUCCUAGAAGCAAAAAGGGAUUCAAAGAGGCCCACUUGAUAACCUGUCAGGCUGCAUAGCAGUGAGGCUUCCUCCUUUAGUAGGUUCUUGAAAUUGUAUAUCUAUAUACAAAUAGAUAAAUAUACAUAUACAAUAUACAGGGUGGCUGCAGGUUUGCUACAACAAGGCAGUGGGUGAAGGUGACGGGUGUGCAGUUGUGGACUCUGGAACCCCCCAAGGGGCUCCCCUGCUGGAUGCAGAGCUGGAGCCUUUGGGCGGCUGACCAAGACAAAAGGGAAGAGGGAUGAGACAGAAAGCAGGGCCGCAAGGAUGCAAGGCCUUGUCUACUAAGUCCUGCUGUCCCAUGUAGGCCAUCACCCCUGACCUAUCUGAGCCUCAGUUUCUCUGAAAGGAAAAUGGGUCAUCAAGAGACAAAUACACAAGAGGAAAGGAGAAAUCAUGAGGGCAAAAUGUCCAGGGUGAAUGGAGGGAAGGAAAAAGUUACGGAGAUCAAGUAGAACCACAGACAGGAGAGAGCCUUUGGCGAGACAGGGGCAGAGAGCACCGAUGUCGGGGAAAAGAAAACUACCUGGCAAGUUAGGAUACAGCAGGAACGGUCUCCAAGACAGCCAUUGAAAAUGCUCCCAAAUGCUGGAGACCUCAGCUCCUGCACAAAGACAAAACCACAGAGGAAAGCACUCAGAAAGGAGCAGGAUGAGGGAAUGCAAAGAAAAGGCAAAUGAGGGAAGCGUUGAAAGAUACAGCCUUGAUACAAUGGCCACAAAGAAGAGCUCUUCACAAUAGAAGCUUGUUAUGUUUGCUUUGCCAUCAUCCACCAUAAAGCCUGGAAUACAACCUUCUUCCCUUUUCAGUAAACAUCUACUGAG
rnacentral:lncRNA from 1 species